UACGUAGGGGGCAAGCGUUAUCCGGAAUCAUUGGGCGUAAAGCGCGUGUAGGCGGUUCCGUAACGUCCGCUCUGAAAGCCCAGGGCUCAACCCUGGGAGGCGGGUGGAUACUACGGAACGUGGAGUGACGGAAGAGGAGAUUGGAAUUCCUGGUGUAGCGGUGAAAAUGCGCAGAUAUCAGGAGGAACACCAACAGCGAAGGCAGAUCUCUGGGACGUUACUGACGCUGAGACGCGAAAGCGUGGGGAGCAAACAGG
rnacentral:rRNA from 1 species